GACGAACGCUGGCGGCGUGGAUUAGGCAUGCAAGUCGAACGGUAUCAUCCUUUCGGGGGUGAGAGAGUGGCGAACUGGUGAGUAACACGUAGGUUAUCUACCCUCAAGACGGGGACAACCCAGGGAAACUUGGGCUAAUACCGGAUGUGAGCAACUUUUAGUUGUUUGAAAGGUGGCGUAAGCUGUCGCUUGGGGAUGAGCCUGCGUCCUAUUAGUUAGUUGGUGAGGUAACGGCUCACCUAGGCAAUGAUAGGUAGGCGGCCUUAACGGGUGGUCGCCCACACUGGGAUUGAGAUACGGCCCAGACUCCUACGGGAGGCAGCAGUCGAGAAUAGUCUACAAUGGUCGGAAGACUGAUAGUGCGACGCCGCGUGAACGAUGAAUCCCUUCGGGGUGUAAAGUUCUUUUAUAUGUGAGCAGUGCUUCUUAUAUUAACAGUAGUAGGGGAGAGAGAUAUUAGCAUAUGAAUAAGCAACGGCUAACUCCGUGCCAGCAGCCGCGAUAAACACG
rnacentral:rRNA from 1 species